GUGAGGAAUAUUGGUCAAUGGGCGGGAGCCUGAACCAGCCAAGUCGCGUGAAGGAAGAAGGAUCUAUGGUUCGUAAACUUCUUUUGCAGGGGAAUAAAGUGCAGGACGUGUCCUGUUUUGUAUGUACCCUGAGAAUAAGGAUCGGCUAACUCCGUGCCAGCAGCCGCGGUAAUACGGAGGAUCCGAGCGUUAUCCGGAUUUAUUGGGUUUAAAGGGUGCGUAGGUGGUUUGAUAAGUCAGCGGUGAAAGUUUGCAGCUUAACUGUAAAAAUGCCGUGGAAACUGGCGGACUUGAGUGUAAAUGAGGUAGGCGGAAUGCGUGGUGUAGCGGUGAAAUGCAUAGAUAUCACGCAGAACUCCGAUUGCGAAGGCAGCUUACUAAGCUACAACUGACACUGAAGCACGAAAGCGUGGGGAUCAAACAGGAUUAGAUACCCCAGUAGUCC
rnacentral:rRNA from 1 species